rnacentral:tRNA from 1 species
GGUGGGUUGGUAUAAUUGGGCGUAUUACACAUCAUUUCCAGCGUGAUGUAAUGUAGGUUCGAAUCCUACACCCACCG